rnacentral:tRNA from 1 species
GGUUGUGUCUCAGUGGCAGAGUGCUUGCCUAGCAUGCAUGAGGCCCUGGGUUCGAUCCCCAGCACCA